rnacentral:lncRNA from 1 species
GGCCAUGGUGAUAAUUUUAAAAAUAAUUAAUUUUAAAAAUAAAAAUAAAAUAAUUAAUGGUGGCACACUCUAAAAUCCUCCACUCCCAAACCUCCUUCCCUCUCUUCAACGAACCCAAGCCUUCUUCCCUCUUCUCCCGCUUCCCUUGUACUUCAUCUCUACAACACCAAAAAUCAUUCAAAGCCACUAAAACUUUUUAAGUUUUGCUAGUGGCUACUGGCUACCCAAAAUUGAUAUCUACAGUACUUAAAUUCAUAUAAAACAAGUUAUUGAUUCUAAAAUCAUAGCUAAACUUCCUCAUUACCACAACCACCACCAUUACCAUCUUUAAACUUACUUUAUCUUAGCUGUGAGUGGAUUUGAAAUUGGGAAGAACGCUGUAAAAAAAUUUGGGGAUAAAAAAGAUUGAGAUUAGAAAGAAACUGAGAGGGGUGUUGGCGAUUUCUUCUUUUGUCGGAGAGGGAGUCAACUAUGUUCAGUAGAUGAGGAAGAGGAAGUAGAAGUGUAAGGAUUCAGUCGAAAAGGGUUUCAAUCGGUCUGAUACAUGAGGGGGAGAGGGAAGUGUAAAGCAUUUGGCUAUUCUUUUGGAUUUGGGGAUUUGAAUGAGGGAUUUGGUAUUUGGGGGAUUUGGGAUCUUGUUUGGAGGAGACAGAGGAUGAUGAGACAGAGGAUUUGGUAUUUUGAUUAUUUGUAUUAUUUAGAAUUAAAAUAAUUAAAAGAAAGGAAAAGGGAUAAAGGAAAAGAAAAAAUUAUAAAAAAAUAAUGAGGUUUUGAUUGUAUAAUUAAUUUUAAUUUUUAUGUCAUUUGUUUAACUAAUUUUUGCUAAUUGUAUCAAAUUUUCUAUUUUAUGUUAAUUAUGUACUUACCUUUUUUAUAUCAUUAAAAUAUAUAUUAGUAUUAAUUUUUAAAAUAAAAAUAAUUAUUAAAAGAAAGGAAAAGAGAUAAGGAAAAUAAUACAAAUAAAGAAAAUGAAUUAAAAUAUUUAUUUUAAUUUCAUUAUUAUUUUAAUUAUUUUUUGCCACGUAAUUAAUGAUUUUUUAUUUUUUAUUUUUGUAGAAAUUAAUAUAAUGUUGUAAUAGAUCUCAUUGAUACAAAAAUUUUGAUAUAUUAUUUGUAUUAUUUAGAAAAGAGAUAAAAGGAAAAGAAAAAAGCCACGUAGGAUAACCAAGAUUCCUCCCCCCAGUCAGCAAAUACACGUAAUAUUUAUUUUUUUUCAAAAAGCCACGUAAGAUAUUUUUAGACGGCUGUUAGUCAAAUUGGACGGAAUGGCUUGAUUGUACAUUUUUAAAAACCACAGUGGGUCAAUUGAAUAUUUUUAAAGCACAGUGGCUAAUUCCUUAAAACACGACAACCACAAUGGGGUAAAGGUGCUUUUUCUCAUAAGAAAAUAUAUUCUUUGAUGUAGCAUCGCCACCCUACUAUAUUCAGACUAACAUCAUUUUUCAGAUUGUCCUUCAUAGAAUAAUGUCUUAAUAUUGUUGAAACUUUUGCCGUUAUUGUCGAAAUUCUGAAAAAAAAUAAUAAUAGUAUCGCCACUCUCUCCUUAAGACAGAAUUUGCCCCUUGUAUAAAUUGUACAGGGUUACAGCGAAACUGUCUCAAUAUAAAACAGACCCAGAAAUUAAUUUGUAUUAAAUAUUAUGUGCAAGAUAAUAUUUAAUUCAAAACUAUAAUUUGAGAGAGAAGAAACUAAUAAAACAAAAUUCUUUUAAGAAUUAUGCACUUAUUUCUUGUGAAUGAAUUGUUAUCCCAAAGGAGAGUUUUCUAAUUCAUUUAUAGGAUUCCAAACACCCUUUUGAAAAUGCACAUUUUCAAUUUGAAAAGAUAUGAACCAAACACACUCUUUCUAAGAGUCACACCGGUUCAAACUAGUGAUCCAAAUCAAACCAUUGCGCUGGUUUAAUGUUACACCCGUUCAAACUAGCAAUCACACUGGUUCAAACUAGUGACCCAAGUUGAACCAUUGCACCGGUUCAAGGUGUAACGUUACACCUAUUCAAACUAGUAAUCACACCUUUACCAUUGAACCAAUGCAUCUGUUAGUUAUUAAAACAAUAUAAUAUAUUUAUUAUAUAACAACAGAUUUAGAAAAUAUCCAACAUAAGUUGUUUUAUUUUCUUAUUUAUUACACUAACAAUGUAGUGCCUUGGGUUUCUUGCUUUUAUUCUAUUUCAUACAGAUCCCGACAAAUAUGGCUGGUCUUAUUGAGUACAGGGCACAUCCUUUCUGGGAACAAAAGUACUGCCCCUCACAUGAACAUGACGGGACACCGAGAUGUUGCAGCUGUGAGAGAAUGGAGGUCUGCUGAAAGUUCAUACCCACCCAAUAUCUCCCUCUCCCCUACAGUCUUCUGAAACCAAAAAGACAAAAGGGAACUUGAACACAAAAAAUAAAAUCGAACAAGAGAAAAGUAAACCCAUAGCACUACUCAUAAUGUCCCUUGAAACUCGCAAAUGGAAACAGAUAAAAAAAAACAGUAAAAGAAAAAGCUUUCUGAUCUCCUGCAUUGGUGUUAACUCAAAGCCUUUUUCAUCCCUUGCAGCCGAGGGACACAAGGUAUCUUUUACUAGAUGAUGGUCGGAAACUAUGUCUAGAGUGCCUGGACUCUGCUGUAAUGGAUACACAUGAAUGUCAACCUCUUUACCUUGAAAUACAAGAAUUUUAUGAAGGAUUAAAUAUGAAAGUCGAGCAACAAAUUCCGUUGCUCUUAGUUGAGAGACAAGCGCUGAAUGAGGCCAUGGAGGGAGAAAAGAAUGUGAGGCAGAUGUAUUAAAUUUAUCAUAUUUCCAGAGAAGGUUAAUUUUUCUGUUUUUGCUUUUCUACUUGGUGAUUUUCAUAAUUUCCUUUUGUGGCAGGGUCAUCAUCACAUGCCUGAGACUAGAGGUCUUUGCCUGUCAGAAGAACAAACCGUUAGCAGUGUAUGAAUAUUUUCCUUGACAUCUUGCCUAUGGAUUGGUUUAGUUUUUGAAGAUAUAGUUAUUUAUCAAAUUCAGACUUUACGUAUGUUUUACUGAAAAAAUAGAUUUCAAGGAGGCCUAAGAUUGGGGCAGGGUACCGGAUUAUAGACAUGUUUACAGAGCCUUAUAGGCUCAUCCGAAGAUGCGAAGUGACAGCUAUUCUCAUUUUGUAUAGUCUCCCUAGGUAAUAAUAUUCCUAUCUGUUGACUAUAGUCAUAAUUCAUGCUUGGGCUUCUUGAAGUACAACCUAAAGCUCAUAAAUUCAGGUUGUUGACUGGAUCUAUUCUGGCACAUGAGAUGAUGCAUGCAUGGCUGCGGCUUAAAGGUGCUUUAGCCAUAAUUUUUUUUGAUUGUUCAACCUAUCGUACAUGCUCUGAAUUUACCAUUCGGGAGUAAUUUGUAGGUUAUCCCAAUCUAAGUCCAGAUGUUGAAGAAGGUAUUUGCCAAGUGCUAGCUCAUAUGUGGUUGGAUUCUGAGAUUAUGGCUGGUUCAGGUUCUGGUAGUAAUGUUGCCUCAACUUCGUCUUCGUCGUCGUCUGCAUCAUCCUCAUCCUCUGGUACCACAUCGUCAAAGAAGGGUAAACGGUCUGAGUUUGAAAAGAAACUUGGAGACUUUUUUAAACACCAGAUUGAAUCAGAUACCUCAAAAGCUUAUGGAGAUGGAUUCAGAGAAGGUAACAAGGCAGUGCUCAAGUAUGGCCUCAAGAGGACCCUUGACCACAUUCGACUUACAGGCUGUUACCCUUAGUAAAUUAAUCGGCGAUCUGCUUUGCCUUCCACCUCGGAUAUAUAAUAUAACUUCAACAGGACCAAAAUAUUUCUUUCACAAAUGAAACAUCAGGAGACUCGAUAAACAAUAAAUGAUGCAAUCUGUAUGUAACCUUGAGCACUACAUGUUAUACUUGUGUUAUAUAGAGAAAAGAAAAUUGAAUACGCUGAAAAAUGCAUUUAGACAUUGCCUGUUGUUUUUGGUUUCUUAUUUAUAACAAACAUAGAAGACGGUCUUCUUCUCCGAGGACAGUACUGUAGACAGUGGUGCUAUUUAGUUAUUAGUGUUAAGGUAACAGGUGAACGUGCGUGUGUAAAUGUGGACUACAUAUAGUUAUACGUCACUGGGAGUGUAAUGUGUAAACUAGGAGAGAAGAGAAUGUUUGGAAGCUCUUAGCAGCCAAGCCAUGAUUUUUCAACUAGAGAAAGAAUCUCAUUAUAGCGUCAAAUUGUGUUUCAUAUAAUAUUUUUGUGGUAUUCAUCUUCACCACAUAACUAAUAAAUCUUAUAGUGAAAUUGAGACCAAAAACGACAUGAGUAUUUGAAUUUUAAGUAUUUGUAUUUUGACUCCCCUAAUCAGAUAAAAAUAUAAAUAGGUGAAAUUUAAAUUCAAUUUUUAUAUCUAUCCAGACUAAUCGUAUUCAACAAAUACUAAAUAAAUGAUACCCUAUUUGAGACGAGAAAAUAAAAAUAAAAAAUUAGAGAAUGAGAAAUCUACUACAAAGGCAAUAAGCCAAAACAUAAAAGCUUACAUUUUUUCUACUAAUUAAAUCACGUAAUUAACAUUAUUAUGAAGGAUAAUUUUAAAUUUGUAAUGUACCCUAUAUGGACAUAUACGUCUUAGCGGUCCCCCUUUUAGCGACGGUUCGGUCAUACAACUGUCGUCUAUACGUUUAGCGACGUUAUAUGUUGUCUGUCGCUAAAAGUAUAGACGACGGUUGUAUGACUGAAACCGUCGCCGGAUCCGUCGCUAAAAAAAAAUGAACACGGAUGAGUAAGAUAAAGGGUAUGCACUUGAUCCAUGGUUUACGUCUUAAGACUAAAAUUCUGAUUUUCUAAAUUUCACAAUUGAGCCCAGUAUCCAUCAUUAGGGGAUGGAGCUAAUUAUUAUUUUUGUAUAAUUAUUUAUUAAAUUAAAUGUUGCACUUAAGCUUGCGAUAAUUUGUUUAGCAAGCUUUGCUUCAUUCAACUCAACCUCGAUCCAGCUCAGAUCAGUAAAUUUAACUACUGAUCAUAUAAAAACCCCCGGAGGAGCCAAAGCCCUCAUAAAAACCCGAUACAACCCAGUAUUGGUUACUGCCACCCAACAACGGAGCCCAUCACCGACUUACGCUUAUACUUUUGAGGUAAUCUUGAAUCGUAGGACUAGUAUUUAUUCCUAUUCCUAUUCCUAUUCCUAUUCCUAUUCCUAUGCACUCUAGGUGUUUGAUAUUUGUUUUAACAGAAGAUUGCCAUAUUUCCAUUACUUCUCUACAUCGCUCCUUCAGAACACUAUAUCCAUUAACGUAAUUAAUACACUAGUCACCGUAAAGGUCUAGUUUAUACAUUUCAUUAGUGUGCAUGGGUUCAGACUAUAGAGAAAUUUCAUGUGUCAUGCUAAUAAGGGGCAUUCUACAUUUUCAACGUGCAUGGUUCUAAUAUUGUGUAAUGGGUUUACUCAGAGGUCUCAUAAGAGUUAGAGCUACUUCUCUUUUGGCUAGCUUAGUAUACUCCCACUGCGGUCUGCAGGGGCUGCCUAUGUAUCUGAAUGGAUUCUUUUACAGCAAAAUCCUAUUUAACACUUUCACCAUACAAAAUAGUUAUUUUUCUAGUAACCCGUGUAAAUAAGGUCUCUCUUUACCUCCAGCGAGCGAGGCUCAUUGAUUCGAUUCGGCUUAGUCUCCGAUCCAAAUCUCCAGAGUCGCUUGUAUCCAUUUUAAAUGAUCCUGCUCUUGACUCCUUUGUGGUCACCAAUGCACUUUGUUCAUCUCCCUCUCCGGAUUCUGCAUUAUUCCUGGUUGAAACCCUUAAGAGCAUUCCACACUUUUUGCAUACCCAAAAUAGCCUAUGCACUGGCCAAAAUUCUUGCAAAAUCCCAUCAAACUGCUAAACUUAAGGCCCUAAUUAACGGCAUUAAUUCUGGCAAGUUCAUAAAUGUUGCACGCAUCAGCUUUAUGGACAGGAUGCGUUGGUAUGCUGCUGCUGGGGACCUUGAUGAGGUCCUUUGUGUCUGGAGCGAGUGGCGAGCCUUGCAGAAGCGUCCGUGUACCGAGUCUUAUAACAUCAUCAUUGGACUUUGUGCUCAGACGCACAAGGACUUUGAGGCUGUGAAGACUUUCUGUAGGAUGAUUGAUGAAGGGGGGCUUCCUAAUGCUAGGACAUACACAGUUAUGAUUGAGCACCUCGUGAAUUUAGGGAAGUUGAAUUCAGCUAUGCAGAUUUUUCAUACACUGCCUUCAAUGAGAAUAAAACGUACAUUGAAGCAGUACUCUGUUUUGGUUGGGGCAUUCUCUGGCACUGGUCAGUUUGAUAUGGUUAAAACUUUACUGGAUGAUAUGCGGAAUGAUGGAAUAUUGCCAGGUCGAGCCAUGCACUCAUCAUUGCAGCUCAUGCAGGAGGCAGGAUUCGUUGAGGAGACGGCUGAAUUGGUUAAAGAAAUGUUACCAGAUGAAAGGAUUAAGAACAUAAAAUCAUCUACGAAUGAUACUAAUUCUAAAGAUGAUGACGAUUAUUGCGAUGAAGAUCUUGACUCUGCCCUCUGUGAUGCUGAGGAAAAUGGCGUUCAGUUGAGACCUUGGUUCGACCCAGCUGCUUUGGCAAGUGCCUUGAAUUAUUGGAGACCAGAAGAGGUAUCAGCACUAGAAGAUGCGAAAUUUGUGUGGACAACUAGAUUGGUUUCCAAGAUGAUCAGGAAUUUCAGUUCAGCUGAAACAGCAUGGCAGUUUUUCUCUUGGGUUUCUUAUCAACCAGGAUUCUGUCAUGACAUUUACACCAUAUCAAGGAUGCUUGCCAAGUUAGCUCGCAAUGGACGAGUCGAUUUGGUUGAUCAACUCAUGUCCAAGACAAAAAAGGAGGGGAUAAGACUAUCCUUCAGUACAAUCAAAUUGAUUAUUGAUUUUUAUGGCAUUUCAGGGACUGGUGAAGCUGCACUUAAGGUUUUCCAUGCUGCUAAAGCACUAUGCGGUCCCAUAUCAAAAAGUAGUCUAAUGCUGCUGUAUUCCUCUCUCUUGAGAACAUUAGCCAAGUGUAAGAUGCAUGCUAAGGUCUUAGAUAUACUAGAUGAGAUGAUUCUGUGUGGAAUUCUUCCAGAUAUCCAAACUUUUUCUGGAUUGAUGCAUCAUUUUGCUCUCCAAGGAGAUAUAAAAACUGUGCAGAGACUCUUUGGAAUGGUAAAGCAGAGUGGCAUAGAGCCUAACGCUUAUAUGUUCAAGGUUCUUAUCCGUGCUUACUGCAAGUGCGAGAGAGCUGCACUUGCUUUGAGGGUUUUUGAGGAUAUGAGGAAUUCCAAUUUGAUGCCUGAUGCUUUGACAAAGCAAUUUCUUGUUAAGAGUCUCUGGAAGGAAGGCAAGCUCAGAGAGGCAGCUGCAGUAGAAGAGAGAAGUGAGGAGAUCAAUGAUGUUCUUCCACUUGCAUUGCCUGGUCAUUUAUAUACUGUGAGUUCCGCAGAUCUCACUAGAGUUUAUAAGAUUUAUUCCGAGAGCUUACCAUCUAAUUGCUAAGAUGAUGACUGGAUAGAAGUUAAGCAAUUAUGUACCUCUUGUGCAGCACAUUGUGUACAGGUGAACAUGAUACAAUAUCAUAUAUCCCUUAAUAUCUAGACUUCAUAAUUCCAUUGACUUUUUUCCAUGGGAUUCUUUAAUUUGUUCUCAUAGAGAUGACUUAGAGUUGAUGAACAAGUUUCUCCUUUUAUUAUUUAUUUUAUGUAUGUGCUGGUCAUAAAGCAAAUCUAAGGCCAAUACGCAAAACAUUGACAGCUUAUACUCUUGAUAGUAUGGCAGCUUGAAAUCAUGAGCAGGUUCUUUUUGAUUUUUUGUUUCCUUUUGAUUUCUCGUCUAAUCUAUUGGUAGUUCAUGCACAGUUAUGCUAUUUUUUGUAUUAGUUAUAAUGGGGUACUAUAAGAUGAUAUUCCAAACUCAGAUGCUCUGUUACACUAAGUUGUUAUAAUUCUACUUUACAUUCUAUUUUAUUUUAUUCAUCUGGUUCAUUAGGUGAAAUUGAUCCCCAAGUAUAUGCGUUUAAAUGAUUAGAAGUAAUAACCUACAUUUACUAGAAUAAAAUAUUGAUGGUGAAGAUUGUCAGAAUAUUUCAAUACCUUGGGACAACUAACUAACGUCAUAGCAAAUAAAAUUCUCCAAGUUGACAUAGUUUUAUUAGGCCUCUAUAUUGCUAAAGAUUUUUGAAAGAAUCCGCGUGGCUGUAAAUUCCAUCUUCUUGCAAUUUGUACCUUAACGACUCGUAAAUGCUUUUUAAUUUUCUUUUGCUGUUUGUUGACAACGAUCAUCACAUCUUGCUCAUAUUUGUUCAUUUAAUUAUGCAUUAUCAACUCUGCAGUUAGAUUUUAACUCUUGUUUCCAGGUCGUCUUCUCACUACCCUUCCUAUGGUAUGAUGCUGUUGAGGUUGCGGCUGCUACCCUCUAAAAUACUUGCAAGUUGCAACUUAUUUUAAUUUUUAAAGUGGCAUCCCUACAUUUUGUACUGCUCAUUAGGAACACUGAAAAGAGAAUCUUUAAAUGUAUGUUCCUGUUUAUCUUGACAAACAAAGAGGUUUACUGCAAAUAAGAUUUAAUAUUUCUAGCCAUAUUUGACAUUUUUCUUUAGGGACAACGGAUAGGUGGAGCUAUUAACGUCAGUUUCUUGCCGUCCUAACUCGGGUUCUUGUAUUAAAUUAAUAUCUGUAGUUUGUCAAAGACACUGAUAGAAAGGGAAUAUCAGUUGAGAUAAGAAAAAUUAAUUAUUUAGUGCUUAACAAAUUGGAUUUAACUAUGAAAUAAUGUAUUCAAAUAAUAAAGUACAAGGAGAUGAAAACUAAAAGAAUCAUACAAAUCAAAGCUAAAGACAAUGCCAAAGCCCCUCCCUCAGAUUCUUUUAUAGACUUCUGAGUUAUUUUAUUGGGAUUGAAAACAUGACGCUAACAAUGAUGAACGUCGUUCGACUACGACCCUGAAAGCAACCUUCUUCUCUCUAGGCACAUAAACAUAGACAAUGCCUGAGAGCCCGAGCUAAGCAAAAGAAAUGGUGUCUUCUCUUUUCUCCUCGCUCCCUGUUCUCCUGUUAAUCUUUUUGUGUGCCUCCUAUGUCUCUGCUCAAUCAACAGCUGAUGCUGACACAGACUUCUCAUGCUCCUCAGACUCGCCCGUUUCCUGUGAAACAUAUCUCAGUUACCGAGCCUGGCAACCUGAUUAUAUGAACCUGGGGAAUAUAUCUGACCUGUUUGGUGUCAGCCGGUUGAGUAUUGCCAGGGCAAAUAACCUAUCCUCUGAGGAUUCCCUGCUGAUGCCCAAUCAACUCUUAUUGAUACCCAUCACCUGUAACUGCAAUGGAACUCAAUUUUUCUCCAAUGCCACCUAUCAGAUCAGGAAAGACGAUAGCUUUUAUUUCGUUUCAAUCACUGCUUUCCAGAAUCUCACCAAUUAUCAUGUAGUUCAAGAUAUGAACCCGACACUGAUCCCAACCCGCUUGAAGAUUGGCGUGGAAGUGGUAUUCCCUUUGCUCUGCAGGUGUCCUGAUAAGGCACUUUUAGGCAAAGGAAUAAGAUAUCUUAUUACUUAUGUAUGGCAACCAGGUGACAAUAUAGUGCCUGUAAGUUCUAUGUUUAAGGCAUCGACCAUUGAUAUUCUUGCUGAGAAUAACUACAGAAAUUUUACGGCUGCAGUUUGUCUUCCGGUUUUAAUUCCUGUGUCGCAGGUGCCAGUCCUUGUUCAAACUUACCCCUCUCCUGCUGGAACACACAAACACAAACAGCAGCAGAUCUUAAUCGCUAUUUUAGGUACAACAGGAGCUUUUUUUCUUUUCAUUUUGUCAGGCUUGUUAGUCUUCAUUCGUCGAUUAUGCAGAAAAAGGAGGAUUUUGAAACGAAAUAUUUCUUAUUCAGAAUUUACUGAUCUUAUUCAAAUGAAGAAAGCACCGAAAGAUGAAAGUUUUGAGCCUAACAUCAAUCAGGGUAAGUUACUGCCCGGGGUUUCUGGAUAUCUAGACAAGACAAUAAUCUACGAUGAAAAAGUGAUCAUGGAUGCAACGAUGAACCUAAGUGAUCGGUAUAGGAUUGGAGGAUCUGUGUACAGAGCUAUGAUCACCGGACAGCUCUUUGCUGUGAAGAAAUUCAAAGAUGUUACCGAGGAAUUAAAGAUACUGCAGAGGGUAAAUCACGCAAAUUUGGUGAAGCUAAUGGGUAUAUCGUCUGACAAUGACAGGAAUUGCUUCUUGGUUUACGAGUAUGCAGAAAAUGGAUCACUAGAAAAGUGGUUAUUCCCCAAAUCAUCAUCUACUUCAGGCUCUGUCGCAUUCCUCACGUGGACUCAGAGGUUAAAUGUAGCAUUAGAUGUCGCCAAUGGCCUGCAAUACAUGCAUGAACAUUCUCAACCAAGCAUAGUUCAUGGAGAUAUACGGACAAGUAACAUACUUCUCAAUUCCAGGUUUAAGGCAAAGAUUUCCAAUUUAUCCACAGCUAGACCUGCAACAAGCUCUAUACAGCUGAAAGCAGAUGUUUUUGCUUUCGGUGUUGUUCUCUUUGAGUUACUAUCAGGAAGGAAAGCCAUGGAAGCAAGUGAAACCGGUGAGAUUGUGAUUGUAUGGAAGGAAAUGAGAGGGGUUUUAGAAGUUGAAGAGAAGAGAGAGGAGAGGUUAGCAAAGUGGAUGGACCAAAACCUAGAGAGCUUUUACCCCAUUGAUGGGGCUUUAAGCUUGGCAGCUUUAGCAGCAGCUUGCACAUCUGAGAAAUCAUCAGCUAGACCAAGUAUGACAGAGAUUGUCUUCAACCUAUCAUUUCUCACUCAAUCAUCUCCUGAGAUGUAUGAAAGGUCUUGGAAUUCUGGAUUAGAACAAGAAGAAGCUUUGCGAAAUAUCAGUCCAGUCGUAGCUCGUUAAGUCAUGUGUCAUUCGCUAACUCUUUCUAUAAGUACUAUUUUUUUCUGUAUUUCAGACCAAGAGUGCAGAAAGCAGUGCAUAGUUUCCUUAGAGGUGGAGUGAUAAAAUGUAUCCAGUUAGGUAUUUUCUUACUAAAAAGAUUUCAAGUCAUGUACAAAAAAUGAAUGUGUAGUGCAAUUACAUCUUCUGUAAUUUGAUGAUAAGUCUUCUUUAAUUUCAUCGCUGGAAACAACCAUCAACAGGAAAACAAGUUCACGUCUUGAAUCAUACCAUCCAUGAAUGCCUUCACGGGAAAAUUACGAGUUAACGUACAAAAAAUAAUGAAUCAUGACAAUAUAAAAGUAAAAAAUAAAUAAAUUACAACAACAUGCAACAAAAAGAUCUAGCUCAAACUUUGAUAUUCUGAAAUGCUAAUUGACAGUUCCCAAGAAAAUGAAGUAUUCAUCGUUCUUGAGAGGUUCUGCAGAAUCCCAUCCAUGUCCGGGCGACCUAAUCGAUUUUUCUUAAUGCAACUAUCAACCAGUCUGACCAUGAAUAGGGCAAGAUCCGCAGGACAAUUCCAUUGCAGAGAAGGAUCCAUGAAGUUGCUCAAAUUCUCGUUCCCAUCUUCCUCAUGAAGAAAGGGGAUUAAUUGCUCAAAUCUGUGUUUACUCCUUCGUACAGCAAAGCAACUUCUUUCCCAGUAAGCAGCUCCAGCAUGAGAACUCCAAAUGAAUAGACAUCGAGCUUUGUGGAGAUCAGACCAUUCUCCAAAUACUCAAGAGCCAUGUAACCUUUUGUUCCGAAUAUGUGCCGUGUCAAGACAAAUUGACCUUCCUCCCCAUCAGCUGACCUGGCAAAAUUGAAGUUAGCAAUCUUGGCCCUAUAAUCACUAUCAAGAAGAACAUUACUGCUCUUUAAAUCCUUGUGUACAUAUGGAGGGUAAGCAUAGCAAUGGAAAUAGUCGAGUCCUGUGGCCACAUCUUAAGCAACCUGUAUUCUCUGAGUCCAUGUCAAAAACUUUUGAUUACCACUAUUGUUAUAUAUAUCCAGUCGCUCAAGGGUCCAUUGACGGCAUAAUCAUAAACAAGGUACCAGUUUCCAUCAUUGAAACAAAUGCCUGAAAGGCGAAUAAGACUGAAAUGGUUGAUCUUGUUUAGUAAACUAAUUUCCUUGGACACAUCUCCAUUGAUUCUCUUAAUAGCUGCAAAAUCCCCAUUGAUUGUACCACCGUAAACUGACCCCUUAAUCCAACAAUUGGGACUGCAAUUGUCUGUUGCAGAUUGAAGUUCCUCAAUAGUAUAUAUUUUGAGGGAUUGAGCUAUACUAGAUAUACUGUCAAAGAGGUCAGAUUCUUCCUCCAACUUCUCAGUUGGUUUCUCACAUGCCUCUGCCUCAAAAUUUUCCGAGGCAAGUAUUGGAUCCAAUUUCUUCUUAUUCUACGAAAGAAUAUGCAGAAAAUAAUAGCUCCAAUGAUGGUUAAAAGAGUGAAACCUCCAAGAUCUCCAGCUACAACAUAUAUCCAUGUUUUAUUUGAGCUGUUUUUCGAUGAAGGGACAGAAGACAUCGGUGGAGGUGGGGUGGUGAUGCUGGGAUUUGAGAAUUUGACAGUGGGUUUUUAAGAGGAAUUAGAAGGGUAGUAAAAGGAUAUAUGACAGAGUCUUGUUACAAUAACUGAUUGGCUUCAAGAGUCCUCCCAGAAUCCACCCGAAAUAGAUUACUUAUAAGGGAAACAUAUUGGCCCCAAGUAACUAACUUAGCAAAUAAUUCACACCAACAUCACUUUGGUUUUUGGUUGGACAAGCACACCUCAAAGGAACAGUAAGUAUAAUACCAGUAUAUAAUUUCUUAGUAGUAAGAUUAUUGUUUUGAACCUGAAGAGCUUGACAUGUUGAGAGGCCUUGAAAUGUGUUGUUUGCUAUGGUAAGAAAGAUAUUGUGAUGCUGAACUACAUAAGACGCAUUUACUUGGUACUUACCUGAGCAAGAGCAGUUGACAGGUACAAGAACCAUCUUGUUUGGUUCAAAUGUUGCAUCCUUGGGAACUGAAUUGAGCCGAGAUAGCUGAGAUGGAUCAGCAGCCAACAAGCUUGAAAUGGAAGAAACCGAGGUGAAUGGAGGUUGAGACCUGAAGGAGAGAGAAGCUUGGCAGCUCAGGGUAAUGCCAUUGCAGGUAUAUCCAAGGACAGAAGUUGAAUUAUCCGUGCUGUCACAGAGUGUACUGGCCUUUCCAAUAUACGGCUGUUGGGAUUUGAUUAAAACAGAGGACAAGAUGAGAUAAAUAGAGAAGACAUAGAUGAGAUGCAUGUAAUCCAUAGCAAAAGAAAAGAGAGCAAAUGGGGAAGUGUCAACCGGUUCGGACGAGGUUUGAGAAGUAGCAGUAUAUUUUACAAGUCAAAAAGGUUGUGGAAAGUUGAAUAUGCCUAUAGGGAGUUGGACAGAACUAAGAAGAGAAAUUCUAUGUAACAUGUACUUCGGGCAGUUUGUUGAAAUAAAAAUUCAUGUAACACUGAAAUCGGGGAAGAGAAUUUUUAUGUAACAUGUGAUUCAGGCAGUUUGUUGAAAUGAAAAUUCAUGUAACACACUGGAAUGAAUGGGGGAAUUGUCUACUGAGUUGACCAUUUCAGUUAUUAAAAAAAUUAUCAGCUCAGUUGACCAACAUCGUUAGCAGGAUCAAAGAUGAAUAAGAAGAAUUUAGCUGUGUACUAGCGAAGCAAGAUAGAUGAGAGAACUAUUUUUAAAAAAUAAAAAUCAAUAAACAAAUAGACAACUGUUUGAUAAUACCUUUUAUAUUUCUCAAAAUUCGCCUUUAGACGUUUUAUAAUAUUUCUUGGUAACUACGAAGAGUUGAUUAAACAGGAUUGACUAUUAAUUUGUUAAUGUUCAUAAAGAAAUUUCAGACAUCCUAAUUAAGAAAAAUGCUACUCCAGGUCUAAAAACAACCACCAAGGUCUUUUCUAACUUUUCUCCUGGACAGUGAGCAUCAAGUUCACAGAAUAUCAUCCGAGGUCCCCCAUCAGUGGAGCACUUAAGUUCUUGGAAGGAGUCAUCCUUAUUGACUUACUGCAGUUACCAUCAGUGGAGCACUAAAGUUCUUGGAAGGAGUCGCUCCUAUUGACUUGCUGCAGUUGUCAAGGGGAAAAAUUAUUUUGGCACUACACGAGACAUGUCAUGAACUGCAUACUACACACAAACUCAAGCUCAGUUAAUCAUUAGACACCAUCUUUAAAAAAAAAUGUCUAAAAUUGGUAGCUGGAUCACCAAUAGGAGAGGUUGCGCAUUCAAGAAAGCAUCUUGCCUUCAUAUGCCCUCUGUUUCCCUACCCAUUCGAUAUCAGUAAUUUUUCUGAAUGUACCAACUCACAAGAGGAUAAAAAUAUGUGAAUUUCAUAUUCCUAUCUUCAAAUCAUCAUCACAUGGAUAACAACAGGGGGCAAGUUAUGCAGCUUUUGUGUCAAAUCAGAUUUCGAACAACUGAGCAUCUAGUUAUGCUGAACAUAUAGAGAUAGAAAAGGUGAUAUUUCUUUGAAGGAACUCUCUUCCUACCAUGGUCCAAACCGUAGAUACGAUAUAGUGUACAAGAACAGGAAAAAAAUUGCAAAACAAAAACUACCACACUGUAAAUUACAUUCCCAAUUGCUACAUAUUCCAACUCCUCCAAUCUCCAUUAUAACAAGCAAUAAUCCUAUUACUAGACAAAAGACACCCCCAGCAAUGCUAUCACGUAGUCCAUCAGCCAGCCAAUCAGGUGUGAUGACAAAUAGGACAAAACGAGAAACUGCAGGUAUGAAUUAUACAUGUAUAGUUACAGCACAUCUGUAAUACAAGAUUCAAACCUGGAAAGUCUCGAGGAAAGAAGAGGUUUGCUGCAACCGCAAGAAAGGCAACCCAACAUCCGAAUUGCCCUCUGUAACAUGAAACAGCUAAUGUUAGAAAUUCAUAGGUAGAAGAUAAAUUUUACAUAAGCAAAUUUAUUGAAAAUUUCAGGAUGCACCGGAGAAUCUUGAACAGCGCCGUUGGAAAACUUGUGAAAAGAAAGAAGACUACAAGUGAAGUAUGCUUGGAUGAUCUCUGCCCUGUUCGGUUCAAGAUUAACAGAAGUCUGCGGUAGGAAAACAAGACAACAUGAAUAUUUGGACCAGAGACAUGGUAAGACAACACUAUGGAGAAACAAAACUUGUAAAUGUUUUGUCAUUGUAAUUUAAGUAGAACAGACUCUAAGCUUUCCCCCAAGACACAAAUGUGACUAAAAUCAGCAUAUCACGUGUGGAAAAGACAAGAGAGGUACUACAGAACUCUGAUAUCAAAGAACAAAGCUAGUAGAAAUAUGACAGUACCAAUGAGCCUGUGAUACUGGGAUGUCUAUUCUAAGGACAUAUAUAUGUAGUUAUAUAAUGCAGGCGACACUCAAUGACAAGUAUAUCAACUGGCCAGUCGCACUAAAUUAAGCUCGAAGCAAAAUUUGAUA